rnacentral:rRNA from 1 species
GUGGGGAAUUUUGGACAAUGGGCGCAAGCCUGAUCCAGCAAUGCCGCGUGCAGGAAGAAGGCCUUCGGGUUGUAAACUGCUUUUGUACGGAACGAAACGGUCCGGGUUAAUACCCUGGGCUAAUGACGGUACCGUAAGAAUAAGCACCGGCUAACUACGUGCCAGCAGCCGCGGUAAUACGUAGGGUGCAAGCGUUAAUCGGAAUUACUGGGCGUAAAGCGUGCGCAGGCGGUGCUGUAAGACAGGCGUGAAAUCCCCGGGCUCAACCUGGGAAUUGCGCUUGUGACUGCAGUGCUGGAGUGCGGCAGAGGGGGAUGGAAUUCCGCGUGUAGCAGUGAAAUGCGUAGAUAUGCGGAGGAACACCGAUGGCGAAGGCAAUCCCCUGGGCCUGCACUGACGCUCAUGCACGAAAGCGUGGGGAGCAAACAGGAUUAGAAACCCCGGUAGUCC